AUCUCACAGCUUUGGUAGGUGGCACUGCAUGCUGAUUUAGGUAUACUUACAGCAUUUGUCUACAGCGAGAACUGAUAAUAACUUUGCAUUUAUGCAUUGUAGAAAUAUAACCAUGAAUUUUAAUGACAAAAUUUUAUAUGGACCCCCAAAGGUCAUAUAGACCCUGACUAAGAACCACUAUUCUAGAUCCUUCUGAUCACUGGGAUAUGAAUUAGAUUACGGUACAGUUGGAGCUGUCUCGGGUAUAUUCAAUUCAUGUUUUUCUUUGGGAGCCUUUGUAGGACCGUUCGUUGGCGGUGCAUUAAAUGAAAAGCUGGGAUUUGAGUGGGCUUCUGUUGUUGGAUCUGGUUUUAUGUGUUUUGCUGUAAGUACAAUCAUGUAUCUACUAAUGAGUUGAUAUAAACAUUUUAACUGUUGAUACAAUUAUAGGUCAUACAAAUGAGUUCAUAUGAGUUCAUAUCAGGCAGCAUGAUAUUCUGUUACAAAACACUGACUGAUAAUAUUCACAUUAUACAGGGUGUCCACAAAGACUGGGUACAUGGAGUAAAUAAAAUCAUAACAUAAACAAUUGAAUAUAAGAAAUAAUAAUUUCUUAAAGUAUGUCUUAAUCCCUAUGUGGGUACAUGGAGUAAAUAAAAUCAUAAUAUAAACAAUUAAAUAUAAGAAAUACUGAUUUCUUAAAGUAUGUGUUAAGCCCCUUGUACCCAGACUUUGUGGACACCCUGUGUUAUAAAAGUGUAUCAAAUGUAUAUUCUUUUCUUUGUUAUAUUACAACACACACAGACACACUUAUAUAAAUAUAUUCCACAUUGAACUUUCCCGUCAGUUUCAAUGUAUGAGGAUCUGACAACCUACACUUUCUAUUUCAGUUAUAAUGCUUAUGUCAAAUGUAGCAUAUGAGAACUUUUAUGCAUUAUGCAAUCAUCAGGUUUAUGUAGUGACAUGUGGAACUACAUAAAUCUGUCACUACAUUAACCUGUCAUUACAUAAACCUGAUUAUUGUGUAACACAUGAAAAUUUACACCGAAUAAAAUAUAUUGUACAUGCAAACAUUAUUCAAAUUUGGAACACAAAACAAUAAACACUUUCAAAGAUAUGAACGAAAUAUUAAUUUACAAAUGAUAGAAAAAUAUGUACACCCAAAAGGAUUAUUUGCUAUAUUCAAUAUUUGGUGUGACCAUCCUUGCUUUCAAUGGCUGCAUUAAGUCUUCUGGGCAUAGAGUUUACUAAAUUUCCGCAUAUAACCAACAAAAUCGACCUCCAUUUAUCCUGAAUGAUGUCUUUCAAUUGUGUUACAUUAGUGUUUUUUCUCCUCAACCUUCCUUUUUAGAACACCCCACAGAUGUUCU